rnacentral:rRNA from 1 species
UACGUAGGGUGCAAGCGUUAAUCGGAAUUACUGGGCGUAAAGCGUGCGCAGGCGGUUUUGCAAGACAGGUGUGAAAUACCCGGGCUCAACCUGGGAAUGGCAUUUGUGACUGCAAGGCUAGAGUGUGUCAGAGGGGGGUAGAAUUCCACGUGUAGCAGUGAAAUGCGUAGAGAUGUGGAGGAAUACCGAUGGCGAAGGCAGCCCCCUGGGAUAACACUGACGCUCAUGCACGAAAGCGUGGGGAGCAAACAGG